UGAUGCAUGUUAUUACCUAGUAGUAUUCAAAAUGCAAACAUAAGUGAAAAUCUUUGAAAAUCGAUAACAGAAUAUUUGAGAUUUUGAUCCUUAUAUUUUUUCAAACCAGAAAUGAUGAACCAGCUAAAUCCAAAACUGAAAUAAGUUUCACGCCUAUAUCUUGAAUUCAAACUUAGUUUAUGGGAAAAUCAGAAGUACCUCAAGGUGAUUAUUGAAUCCUACUAUAUAAAAGGGACUAAAUUCAAGGCUUUUGAGACUAUCCACCUCAGCCAAAAUAUUCUCAUCCAAAAAAAAUUAAAAAUAAAUAUCAUUUAGAAGAUAAUUAACUAACAUAAAACUUUUGAUAUUUCUAGAAAUUUCAAAUUUGUAACUGCUCCUACUAUAUAAAAGGGACUAAAUUCAAGGCUUUUGAGACUAUCCACCUCAGCCAAAAUAUUCUCA
rnacentral:lncRNA from 1 species